GCCUGCCUAGCUCAAUCGGAUAGAGCGUCAGACUCUUAAAGUGGGUGGCAGUUGGAUCUGAAGGCUGCGAGUUCGACCCUCGCGGUGGGCU